CGUAGGGUGCAAGCGUUGUCCGGAAUUAUUGGGCGUAAAGAGCUCGUAGGCGGUCUGUCGCGUCGGAUGUGAAAACUCGGGGCUCAACCCCGAGCCUGCAUUCGAUACGGGCAGACUUGAGUUCGGCAGGGGAGACUGGAAUUCCUGGUGUAGCGGUGAAAUGCGCAGAUAUCAGGAGGAACACCGGUGGCGAAGGCGGGUCUCUGGGCCGAUACUGACGCUGAGGAGCGAAAGCGUGGGGAGCGAACAGGAUUAGAUACCCUGGUAGUCCACGCCGUAAACGGUGGGUGCUAGGUGUGGGGAACUUUCCACGUUCUCCGUGCCGCAGCUAACGCAUUAAGCACCCCGCCUGGGGAGUACGGCCGCAAGGCUA
rnacentral:rRNA from 1 species